CCUUAGCUUUCGGAGGCUCCUCCUGGGUCAUUUCCUGGUUGGAGAACUUCCUUUGGCCAUUCUUCUGGGUUGUGCUGCUGGUGACAGGUUCUUGUUUUCCUUCAUCGCAGAAUGUCUUCAUUUCCCCUUAAUUCCUAGGGGAGAUUUUCACUCCAUUUACAGGGCUCUGUCAACACUGGGGACAUUCUGCUCCGCUUCCGCCCAGCCUGCCCUGGUUUAUCGUGAGACCCCACCGCCAUUCAAGUCGUUUCCUCUUCCAGGGGAAGAACAGGGCUCUGACCUGGAUGGCAGAAGCACGAGAGGGAGCAGAUGAGGGUCCAACUGUCACCGCUAAAUGCUCAGGACGCUGCUCGCCGAUGACGUUUCUGCAGGUGAUUCUGGGGCAGGCACAGCUCCUAGAGCACUGGAUCAGCUGGUGGAAAUGUCCCAGAACAAAGGAACGGGAUACUUGCCCAACAAAACCCUGACUUCAAGGCAGGUGCCGUCGUGACACAGAAGGGGAGACAAAGCCCAGAGAGUUCAGGAUCUGCUCCGUGUGGUUCCUUGGGCCACUCACUCGGCGUCAAGGUGAUCAUCAGAAGACAAAUGCGGCUCUGGUUCUGAUGUGUGAAUUUGGGGCAGAGACACACAAGAAACAAGAAGAUAUCAGAUGGGCACUUGCUUCCAAACGAGGACCCGGAGGCUGAGGAACGACAGGAGUAUUUCCUGGGUCCCUCUUGGGCUACCUGAGGCCAGGGGCGUGCUCCUCCUUCUAGGGCGUGAUCUUCUCUUCUAGCGGGGACACAGCUCGUCCCUUGAGACCGAGGGCAGCCUUCCCUUCAGGUCCCGGGGAAAGGAGGCCACAGUAACCUGUGCUCCGACGUGCCGAGGACUCGCGGUUUGGUUUUGUGUUGGGAGGCCGCAGGUCUACGGACCACCUGUGACAAGAGCUCAAGUGGCAGGAUGGAGGUUGGAGUGACAUGUGACGCCCACACAGGGAGGAGCAGCCUGGGGACUGGAAGUGCACCCUGCACGGUGGACAGUCUACCCUUGGGUCAUCUAGAGAUUCUUCAGUCACCUCAGGCUCCAAGUGCACUCCGCGAGGGCUCCUGUGCCCGGCACUGGGCACACCACCCCCUCUCUCCCUCCUCCUGGCCGGGCACUGAGGAUGGACCAGGUGGGCUCCUGGGCUGUGGUCAUGUGCAUUGACCCCGUCGUUCACCGUCCCUGCGCAGUCCUGGGGAGCCUGGAUGACCUCUGACCUAGCCCUUCAUUCUGGAGAAAGGUGAGACGUCCCUCACCCUGCAGACAUCAGAGACAGGAGAUGCCUGUCUUGCGGCCUCUGGGACCUCCGCAGAGACUGGCCUGGGUGGUUCCCUCCAGUCUCCUGCUUUCAGUCUGAGCCAUUUUCUGCAUCGGCCCUGAGUAAAGCCACGGCUUGAGCAUGGUUUUCACAACCAGGUUCUGGAACCCCAGGAUCCCAAGAGGGACGUCAACUACUGCCCUGAGGCAGAGUUCUCUGGGAUGGGGGGGGGCAGGAUUCCCUUUCCUGCUAAUGCCAGAGCCCCUCAGCUACCGUCAGCUUCGUGUGCUUUGAGCUUGGUUUAAUAUUUUGUUGGAAAAGGGUUCUGCCAUAAAAGAAAACUAGAACAGUGAUAAAGGUCAGAGCACCGAACUCGGGCCCUUGUGGUGUGCUGUUCCUUU